GACAAGCAGAGUUGGAAACAAAGUGCUGAAUGCCCGCCCCAGCCUGCUGCUCACUAUCCUCUCCCUCUGUGCCCUGCAGACUGAGCUGCUGAGAUCUUCCCAUGGAAACAUCUGCAUUUUCCCUAAAUAUUUCUGGCCUCCUCAUCUGAGUUACAAAAUUAAAAAAAACCUUCCCCACUGAGCCCACCUGACCUCUUAUUUAUUUUUGCCAGCAGCACCCAACAGGUCAGAGUUAGCAACAUGUGGCUCAGCCCUGCCCUGACUGGGGAAAGCCUGGUUCAGGAGUUGUGGGAGGUCACCUGGUCUACACUCACAGGUGGAAGGACCUCUGUUGACCUUUCCUGUACAGAGAGGCCCACUCUAACCUUACAGAUGCCAUUUGAGGAUAUCCACCUUCUGUGGGUUGUUGUACAUAUAUGGCUGAAAAUUAUACAAAAAGGAAAAUGAGAUGUGUCAAUGGCAAAAUAUGGAUUUUCACACUUGAGUAUUGCCUAUCUUCAAAUAUGGUCUUAAACCAAAGCCCAG
rnacentral:lncRNA from 1 species